UACGUAGGCGGAAAAAUAAGUCAGUGGUGAAAUCCUGCAGCUCAACUGUAGAACUGCCAUUGAAACUAUUUUUCUUGAGUAUAGUUGAGGUGGGCGGAAUGUGUCAUGUAGCGGUGAAAUGCUUAGAUAUGACACAGAACACCGAUUGCGUAGGCAGCUCACUAAACUAUUACUGACGCUGAGGUACGAAAGCGUGGGGAGCGAACAGGAUUAGAUACCCUGGUAGUC
rnacentral:rRNA from 1 species